AGGAUUAACGCUGGCGGCGUGCCUGACACAUGCAAGUCGAACGAGGCCGCAAGGCCGAGUGGCGGACGGGUGAGUAACACGUGACCAACCAACCUCGAAGUUGGGAAUAGCUCUGCGAAAGUAGGGGUAAUACCGAAUGUGGCCCAGGGCGGGCAUCCGCCUUGGUCUAAAGAUUCAUCGCUUCGAGACGGGGUCGCGGCCUAUUAGCUUGUUGGUGAGGUAACGGCUCACCAAGGCGAUGAUGGGUAGCUGGUCUGAGAGGACGACCAGCCACACUGGGACUGAGACACGGCCCAGACUCCUACGGGAGGCAGCAGUGAGGAAUCUUCCGCAAUGGGCGAAAGCCUGACGGAGCAACGCCGCGUGUGGGAUGAAGACUCUAGGGUUGUAAACCACUGUCGGAGGGGACGAUCGUGACGGUACCCUCCGAAGAAACGCCCCGGCUAACUACGUGCCAGCAGCCGC
rnacentral:rRNA from 1 species